rnacentral:rRNA from 1 species
GAGUUUGAUCAUGGCUCAGAUUGAACGCUGGCGGCAGGCCUAACACAUGCAAGUCGAGCGGAAACGAUGGAAGCUUGCUUCCAGGCGUCGAGCGGCGGACGGGUGAGUAAUGCAUAGGAAUCUGCCCGAUAGUGGGGGAUAACCUGGGGAAACCCAGGCUAAUACCGCAUACGUCCUACGGGAGAAAGCAGGGGAUCUUCGGACCUUGCGCUAUCGGAUGAGCCUAUGUCGGAUUAGCUAGUUGGUAGGGUAACGGCCUACCAAGGCAACGAUCAGUAGCCGACCUGAGAGGGUGAUCGGCCACACUGGAACUGAGACACGGUCCAGACUCCUACGGGAGGCAGCAGUGGGGAAUAUUGCACAAUGGGCGAAAGCCUGAUGCAGCAACGCCGCGUGAGCGAUGAAGGCCUUCGGGUCGUAAAGCUCUGUCCUAUGGGAAGAUAAUGACGGUACCAUAGGAGGAAGCCCCGGCUAACUACGUGCCAGCAGCCGCGGUAA